rnacentral:tRNA from 1 species
GACUACGUGGCGCAACGGUAGCGCGUCUGACUCCAGAUCAGAAGGUUGCGUGCUCAACUCACGUUGUUGUCG